rnacentral:ribozyme from 12 species
AAAGAGGGAAGGAGAGAAGGAGAGAAGGAGAGGAGGAGGCCACACAACACACGCACCGUAUGGUUCUGGUUUUUUAUGUUUUUUGUUUCUUGUCUUUUUUUUUUAUUAUUUUUCUUUUUAUUUCGCUCCUUUUU